AGCCCCCAGGCUCCCCAGCCCUAAAGCCCUGGUCCACGAGUGCUGCUGGUGAGGAUAGCCCAGCGCCCCCCUGAUGGCCCGUCCCCACCUCCUCCCCUCCGCAGUGCGGCUUCUUCAAGCGAGCCCGCACUCGCGCCCUGUAUGAAGCUAAGAGGCAGAAGGCGGAGAUGAAGAGCCAGCCGUCAGAGACAGAGAGGCUGACCGACGACUACUGAGGGGGCAGCCCCCCGCCCCCGGCCCACCUGGUGUGACUUCUUUAAGCGGACCCACUAUUAUCAGAUCAUGCCCAAGUACCAUGCAGUGCGGAUCCGGGAGGAGGAGCGCUACCCACCUCCAGGGAGCACCCUGCCCACCAAGAAGCACUGGGUGACCAGCUGGCAGACUCGGGACCAAUACUACUGACGUCCUCCCUGAUCCCACCCCCUCCUCCCCCAGUGUCCCCUUUCUUCCUAUUUAUCAUAAGUUAUGCCUCUGACAGUCCACAGGGGCCACCACCUUUGGCUAGUAGCAGCAGGCUCAGGCACAUACACCUCGUCAAGAGCAUGCACAUGCUGUCUGGCCCUGGGGAUCUUCCCACAGGAGGGCCAGCGCUGUGGACCUUACAACGCCGAGUGCACUGCGGUCCUGUGCCCUAGAUGCACGUGGGGCCCACUGCUCGUGGACUGUGCUGGUGCAUCACGGAUGGUGCAUGGGCUCGCCGUGUCUCAGCCUCUGCCAGCACCAAAACAAGCCAAAGAGCCUCCCACCAGAGCCGGGAGGAAAAGGCCCCUGCAAUGUGGUGACACCUCCCCCUUUCACACUGGAUCCAUCUUGAGCCACAGUCGCUGGAUUGACUUUGCUGUCAAAACUACUGACAGGGAGCAGCCCCCGGGCCGCUGGCUGUUGGGCCCCCAAUGACACCCAUGCCAGAGAGGUGGGGGUCCUGCCUAAGGUUGUCUACGGGGGCACUUGGAGGACCUGGCGUGCUCAGACCCAACAGCAAAGGAACUAGAAAGAAGGACCCAGAACGGCUUUCUUUCCUGCAUCUCUGUGAAGCCUCUCUCCUUGGCCACAGACUGAACUCGCAGGGAGUGCAGCAGGAAGGAACAAAGAUAGGCAAACGGCAACGUAGCCUGGGCUCACUGUGCUGGGGCACGGCGGGAUCCUCCACAGAGAGGAGGGGACCAAUUCUGGACAGACAGAUGUUGGGAGGAUACAGAGGAGAUGCCACUUCUCACUCACCACUACCAGCCAGCCUCAGAAGGCCCCAGAGAGACCCUGCAAGACCACGGAGGGAGCGACACUUGAAUGUAGAAUAGGCAGGGGGCCCUGCCCCGCCCCAUCCAGCCAGACCCCACGCUGACCAUGCGUCAGGGGCCUAGUGGAGUUCUUAGCUAUCCUUGGCUUUCAGAGCCAGCCUGGCUCUGCCCUCUCCCCCAUGGGCUGUGUCCUAAGGCCCAUUUGAGAAGCUGAGGCUAGUUCCAGAAAACCUCUCCUGACCCCUGCCAGUUGGCAGGCCCACUCCCCAGCCCCAGCCCCUUCCAUGGUACUGUAGCAGGGGAAUUCCCUCCCCCUCCUCGUGCCUUCUUUGUAUAUAGGCUUCUCACG
rnacentral:lncRNA from 1 species